UAUCUCUGUAGAGUCUGCAUAUCAAUAAGCGGAGGAAAAGAAACUAACAAGGAUUCCCUUAGUAACGGCGAGUGAAGCGGGAAGAGCUCAAAUUUGAAAUCUUCAAGGUUCUACCUUGACGAAUUGUAGUUUAUAGAAGUGUUUUCUGUUAGUAGAGUGGCAAAAGUUCUUUGGAAUAGGACAUCAUAGAGGGUGAGAAUCCCGUAUUUGGUCAUUCUUUCUAGCUUUGUGAUACACUUUCAACGAGUCGGAUUGUUUGGGAAUGCAGUCCAAAAUGGGUGGUAAAUUUCAUCUAAAGCUAAAUAUUGGCGAGAGACCGAUAGCGAACAAGUACCGUGAGGGAAAGAUGAAAAGAACUUUGAAAAGAGAGUUAAACAGUACGUGAAAUUGUCAAAAGGGAAGCGUUUGACACCAGUGUUGUUUUUCCGAAAAUCAAUUACGAAUGUUUUGUUUUUGAGAAGUUAUGACUUCAUCGGCUUGCUUCUUUCUUUACGAAACUUUCUUAAUGCACUUUUCGGUUAACAAGUCAACAUCAAUUUCUUUUGUUGUAAAAGGGUAUGAGGAAAGUGGCUUUCUUUUCGGAGAAAGUGUUUAUAGCCUUGUGCCUCUGCAAUCGGAGAGAUUGAGGUCUGCAGCGUAGAUCCUUCGGGGUUAGAUACAUUUGUGCUAAGUUAUAGCCUUUCAUAGACAACUUGUUGACUAUGCUCAGUCAUGUAGCUUACUCGCUUAUGCUAUUUUACCUACGCUUAGGAUGUUGACGCAUGAGAUAUACGC
rnacentral:rRNA from 1 species